GACGAACGCUGGCGGCGUGCUUAACACAUGCAAGUCGAACGGAAAGGCCCUGCUUUUGUGGGGUGCUCGAGUGGCGAACGGGUGAGUAACACGUGAGUAACCUGCCCUUGACUUUGGGAUAACUUCAGGAAACUGGGGCUAAUACCGGAUAGGAGCUCCUGCUGCAUGGUGGGGGUUGGAAAGUUUCGGCGGUUGGGGAUGGACUCGCGGCUUAUCAGCUUGUUGGUGGGGUAGUGGCUUACCAAGGCUUUGACGGGUAGCCGGCCUGAGAGGGUGACCGGCAACAUUGGGACUGAGAUACGGCCCAGACUCCUACGGGAGGCAGCAGUGGGGAAUAUUGCACAAUGGGCGGAAGCCGGAUGCAGCAACGCCGCGUGCGGGAUGACGGCCUUCGGGGUGUAAACCGCUUUCGCCUGUGACGAAGCGUGAGUGACGGUAAUGGGUAAAGAAGCACCGGCUAACUACGUG
rnacentral:rRNA from 1 species